GUACGCGCGUGUGUGUGUGUGUGUGUGUGUGUGUGUGUGUGUGUGUGUUGCACCUCGUCCUGCUCGACGCAGCGGGAAGACACACACACUC
rnacentral:miRNA from 1 species